UUUGAGGAAGGUAUAUGGUAGGUGUAUGAUACCGGCGAAAAGUGUGCGGUAUUAAAGAGGCUAGCAAAGGUGGAAGGGUGAGAGUGCGUAUAAUCCAUGGACUCAACAUUAGUCAUAAAGAACUCAUAUACUUAUUGCAAAAAUCUAGAAAUUAUCAAAGCAAAGUAUUACGCGCAUGCUCCUAGGGGGAUAGAUUGGUAGGAAAAGACCAUCGCUCAUCCCCGACCGCCACUCAUAAGGAAGACAAUCAAUAAAUAAAUCAUGCUCCGACUUCAUCACAUAAUGGUUCACCAUACGUGCAUGCUACGGGUAUCACAAACAUUAACACAAGUAUUCUUUAAAUUCACAACUACUCAACUAGCAUGACUUUAAUAUUAUCACCUCCAUAUCUCAAAACAAUUAUCAUGCUUCAAUCUUUUCUUAGUAUUCAACACACUCAAAAGAAAGUUUCACAAAUCUUGAAUACCAAGCAUAUUAUUAUUAAGCAAAUUACCAUGCUAUUAAGAGACUCUCAAAAUAAUUUAAGUGAAGCAUGAGAGAUCAAUAGUUUCUUUAAAACAAAUCCACCACCGUGCUCUAAAAGAUCUAAGUGAAGCACAUAGAGCAAAAUUAUAACACUCAAAAGAUAUAAGUGAAGCACAUGGAGCAAAACUACUUAGCUCAAAAAGAUAUAAGUGAAGCACAUAGAGCAAAACUACAUAGCUCAAAAGAUAUAAGUGAAGCACAUAGAGUAUUCUAUCAAAUUCUAAUUCAUGUAUGGCUCUCUCAAAAGGUGUGUACAGCAAGGAUAAUUGUGGCAUACUAAAACACAAAGACACAAAUAAUACAAGACGCUCCAAGCAAAACACAUAUCAUGUUGGUGAAUAAAAAUAUAGCUCCAAGUAAAUUACCGAUGGAAGUGGACGAAAGAGGGGAUGCCUUCCGGGGCAUCCCCAAGCUUUGAAUUUUUGGUGUCCUUGGAUUAUCUUCCGGGUGCCAUGGGCAUCCCCAAGCUUAGGCUCUUUCCACUCCUUGUUCCAUAAUCCAUCACAAGAAUUCACCCAAAACAUGAAAACUUCACAACACAAAACUUAAAGUAGAAAACUCGUGAGCUCCGUUAGUGAAAGAAAACAAAAUACCACUUCAAGAUACUGUAAUGAACUCAUUAUUUAUUUAUAUUGGUGUUAAAACUACUGUAUUCCAACUUCUCUAUGGAUUAUAAACUAUUUUACUAACCAUAGAUUCAUCAAAAUAAGCAAACAACACACGAAAAACAGAAUCUGUCAAAAACAGAACAGUCUGUAGUAAUCUGUAGAUAGAGAAAGAUCUGGAACCCCAAAAAUUCUAAUAUAAAUUGCUGGACUUGAGUAAUUUAUCUAUUAAUCAUCUGCAAAAAUAAUUAACUAAAUAGCACUCUUCAAAUAAAAAUGAAAGCAGUUCUCGUGAGCGCUAAAGUUUCUGUUUUUCACAGCAAGUUCAACAAGACUUUCCCCAAGUCUUCCCAACGGUUCUACUUGGCACAAACACUAAUUAAACACAAAAAACACAACCAAAACAGAGGCUAGAUAAUUUAUUUAUUACUAAGCAGGAGCAAAACAUAAGGAAUAAAAAUAAAAUUGGGUUGCCUCCCAACAAGCGCUAUCGUUUAACGCCCCUAGCUAGGCAUAAAAGCGAGGAUAGAUCUAGGUAUUGCCAUCUUUGGUAGGAGAUCCAUCAGUGGCUCUCAUGAUAGUUUCAUAUGGCAAUUUUAUUUUCUUUCUAGUAAAGUGUUCCAUGCCCUUUUUAAUGGAAAUUGAAAUAUAAUAUUCCCUUCCUUCAUGUCAAUAAUCGCACCAACCGUUCUAAGGAAAGGUCUACCAAGAAUAAUAGGGCAAGAAGGAUUGCAAUCUAUAUCAAGAACAACGAAAUCUACGGACAGAUAAUUCCUAUUUGCAACAAUAAGAACAUCCUUAAUCCUUCCCAUAGGUUUCUUAAUAGUAGAAUCCGCGAGAUGCAAGUUUAGAGAGCAAUCAUCAAAAUUGCGGAAAUCUAGCAAAUCACACAAAGUUUUGGGGAUAGUGGAGACACUAGCACCCAAAUCACACAAAGCAUAAAACACAUGAUCUUUAAUUUUAAUUUUAAUAGUUGGUUCCCACUCAUCAUAGAGUUUUCUAGGGAUAGAAACUUUCAACUCAAGUUUUUCUUCAUAAGAUUGCAUCAAGGCAUCAACAAUAUGUUCGGUGAAGGCUUUAUGUUGACUAUAAGCAUGUGGAGAAUUUAACACGGAUUGCAACAAGGAAAUACAAUCAAUUAAAGAGCAACUUUGAUAAUUAAAUUCCUUGAAAUCCAAUAUAGUGGGUUUAGCAACAUCUAGAUUUUUAUUUCUUUCAAUCCCACUUUCAUCAAUUUCAUCAUAAAGAUCUAAAUACUCUGAAUUUUUAGAACGCCUUCUAGGUAAAGGAAGAUCAUAUUCAGUUUCAUCAAGAUUCAUAUUGAAAAACAAAGAUUUAAUAGGGGACGCAUCAAUAACUUUUAGAUCUUCAUCUUGAUUUUCAUAGGAAUUGGAAGAACACGCUUUAAUAAAGGCAUCUUUGGAAGCACGCGUCCUAGCGGUUCUUUCCUUGCACUCAUCAAUGGAAAUUCUCAUGGCUUUGAGAGACUCAUUGAUAUCAUGCUUAGGAGGAAUAGAUCUAAUCUUUAAAGAAUCAAUCUCAAGAGAAAUUCUAUCAACGUUUCUACGCAAAUCAUCAACUUUAAGCAAUUUCUCUUCAAGCAAAGCAUUAAAAUUCUUUUGUGAAUUCAUAAACUCUUUAACACUAUUCUUAAAUUCAGAGGGCAUCUUAUUAUAAUUUCCAUAAGAGUUGUUGUAGGAAUUUCCAUAAUUAUUAGAAGGAUUACUAGGAUAUGGCCUAGGAUUAAAAGUCCCUCUAUAAGCGUUGUUACCAAAAUUAUUCCUACCAACAAAAUUCACAUCCAUAGAUUCAUUGGUAUUCUCAAUCAAAGUAGACAAAGGCAUAUCAUUAGGAUCAGAAGAAACACUCUUAGCAGCAAAUAAUUUCAUAAGUUCAUCCAUCUUUCCACUCAAAACAUUGAUUUCUUCUAUCGCAUGCACUUUUUUAUUAGAAGAUCUUUCAGUAUGCCAUUGAGAAUAAUUAACCAUAAUAUUAUCUAGGAGUUUAUUAGAAUCUCCUAAAGUGAUUUCCAUAAAAGUGCCUCCCGCGGCCGAAUCUAAAAGAUUUCUAGAAGCAAAAUUCAAUCUAGCAUAAAAUUUUUGUAUAAUCAUCCACAAAUUCAAACCAUGAGUAGGGAAAUUACAUAUCAUUAAUUUCAUUCUCUCCCACGCUUGUGCAACAUGUUCAUGAUCAAGUUGCUUAAAGUUCAUAAUAUCGUUUCUAAGAGAGAUGAUCUUAGCGGGAGGGAAAUACUUAGAGAUAAAAGCAUCUUUGCACUUGUUCCAAAAAUCAAUACUAUUUUUUAGGCAAAGACGAAAACCAAGCUUUAGCACGAUCUCUAAGCGAAAAAGGAAAUAGCUUCACUUUAACAACAUCAUUAUCGACAUAUUUUUUCUUUUGCAUAUCACAUAAAUCAACGAAGUUAUUCAGAUGAGUAGCGGCAUCUUCACUAGGAAGACCGGCGAAUUGAUCUUUCAUAACAAGAUUCAACAAAGCAGUAUUGAUUUCAUAAGAUUCAGUAUUGGCAGGAGGAGCAAUCGGAGUGCUAAGGAAAUCAUUAUUAUUGGUAUUGGUGAAGUCACAUAAUUUAGUAUUAUCUUGAGCCAUCGCGACAAACAAGCAAUUUAACACACGAGCAAACAAAAAGGCAAGCGGGCAAAAGAGGCAAAUAGAGAGGGAGGAUAGAGAGAGAGGGCGAAUAAAACUAUAAGGGUGAAGUGGGGGAGAGGAAAACGAGAGGCAAAUGGAAAAUAAUGUAAUGCGAGAGAUAGGGAUUGUGAUGGGUACUUGGUAUGUUGACUUUUUGCGUAGACUCCCCGGCAACGGCGCCAGAAAUCCUUCUUGCUACCUCUUGAGCUUGCGUUGGUUUUCCCCGAAGAGGAAGGGAUGAUGCAGCAAAGUAGCGUAAGUAUUUCCCUCGGUUUUUGAGAACCAAGGUAUCGAUUCAGUAGGAGGCCACGCUCAAGUCCCUCGUACCUGCACAAAACGAUAGCUACUCGCAACCAACGCGAUUAGGGGUUGUCAAUCCCUUCACGGUCACUUACGAGAGUGAGAUCUGAUAGAUAUAAUAUUUUUGGUAUUUUUGGUAUAGAGAUGCAAAGUAAAAAGUAAAAGCAAAGUAAAAAGCAAAGCAUGAUUAAAGUGAUGGAGAUUGAUAUGAUGAGAAUAGACCCGGGGGCCAUAGGUUUCACUAGUGGCUUCUCUCAAGAGCAUAAGUAUUCUACGGUGGGUGAACAAAUUACUGUUGAGCAAUUGACAGAAUUGAGCAUAGUUAUGAGAAUAUCUAGGCAUGAUCAUGUAUAUAGGCAUCACGUCCAUGACAAGUAGACCGAAACGAUUCUGCAUCUACUACUAUUACUCCACUCAUCGACCGCUAUCCAGCAUGCAUCUAGAGUAUUAAGUUAAAAACAGAGUAACGCCUUAAGCAAGAUGACAUGAUGUAGAGAGAUAAAUUCAUGCAAUAUGAAAUAAACCCCAUCUUGUUAUCCUCAAUGGCAACGAUGCAAUACGUGCCUUGCUACCCCUUCUGUCACUGGGAAAGGACACCGCAAGAUCAAACCCAAAGCAAGCAAUUCUCCCAUGUCAAGAACUACCAAUCUAGUUGGCCAAACCAAACGGAUAAUUCGAAGAGACUUGCAAAGAUAACCAAUCAUACAUAAAAGAAUACAAAGAAGAUUCAAAUAUUAUUCAUAGAUAGACUUGAUCAUAAACCCACAAUUCAUCGUUCUCAACAAACACACCGCAAAAAGAAGAUUACAUCGAAUAGAUCUCCACAAGAGAGGGGGAGAACUUUGUAUUGAGAUCCAAAAAGAGAGAAGAAGCCAUCUAGCUACUAACUAUGGACCCGAAGGUCUGAGAUAAACUACUCACACUUCAUCGGAGAGGCUAUGAUGAUGCAGAAGCCCUCCGUGAUGACGGCCCUCUUCGGCGGAGCUCCGGAACAGGCCCCAAGAUGGGAUCUCGUGGAUACAGAAAGUUGCGGCGGUGGAAUUAGGUUUUUGGCUCCGUUUCUGAUCGUUUGGGGGUACGUAGGUAUAUAUAGGAGGAAGGAGUAUGUCGGUGGAGCUCCAAGGGGCCCACGAAGCAGGGGGCGCGCCCUAGGGGGGGCGCCCCCCACCCUCGUGAUCGCCUCUUUGACUCCUUGGAGUAGGGUCCAAGUCUCCUGGAUCACGUUCGGUGAGAAAAUCACGUUCCUGAAGGUCUCGUUCCGUUUGGACUCCGUUUGAUAUUCCGUUUCUUCGAAACACCGAAAUAGGCAAAAAAACAGCAAUUCUGGGCUGGGCCUCCGGUUAAUAGGUUAGUCCCAAAAAUAAUAUAAAAGUGGAAAAUAAAGCCCAAUAUAGUCCAAAACAGUAGAUAAUAUAGCAUGGAGCAAUCAAAAAUUAUAGAUACGUUGGAGACGUAUCAGUCUUCUCCACAACCACCAUUAUAUUCCACCUAUAGUGCUAUGUACAUGGCUCACGCUCAUGUAUUGCAUGAAGAUUGAAAAAGUUUGAGAACAUUAAAAGUGUGAAACAAUUGCUUGGCUUGUCAUCGGGGUUGUGCAUGAUUUGAAUACUUUGUGUGGUGAGGAUGGAGCAUAGCCAGACUAUAUGAUUUUGUAGGGAUACCUUUCUUUGGCCAUGUUAAUUUGAAGAGACAUAACUGCUUAGUUAGUAUACUUGAAGUAUUAUUAUUUCUAUGCCAAUAUUAAAACUUUGUCUUGAAUCUUUCGGAUCUGAAUAUUCAUACCACAAUUAAGAGAAUUACAUUGAAAUUAUGCCAAGUAGCAUUCCACAUCAACAAUUCUGUUUUUAUCAUUUACCUACUCGAGGACGAGCAUGAAUUAAGCUUGGGGAUGCUUGAUACAUCUCCAACAUAUCUAUAAUUUUUUAUUGUUCCAUGCUAUAUUAUAUUCUGUUUUGGACAUUAUUGGGCUUUAUUAUACACUUUUAUAUUAUGUUUGGGACUACCCUAUUAACCGGAGGCCCAACCCAGAAUUGCGGUUUUUUUUGCUUAUUUUAGAGUUUCGCAGAGAAAGAGUAUCAAACGGAGUCCAAACGGAAUGAAACCUUCGGCAACGUGAUUUUCGGAACGAACAUGGUCCAGAGGACUUGGACCCUACAUCGAGACAUCAAUCAGGAGGCCACGAGGUAGGGGGCGCGCCUACCCCCUGGGCGCGCCGUCCACCCUCGUGGGCCCCCUGUUGCUCCACCGACGUACUCCUUCCUCCUAUAUAUACCUACGUACCCCCAAACUACCAGAUACGGAGCCAAAACCUUAAUUCCACCGUCGUAACUUUCUGUAUCCACGAGAUCCCAUCUUGGGGCCUGUUCCGGAGCUCCGCCGGAGGGAGCAUCGAUCACGGAGGGCUUCUACAUCAACACCAUAGCCCUUCCGAUGAAGUGUGAGUAGUUUACCUCAGACCUACGAGUCCAUAGUUAUUAGCUAGAUGGCUUCUUCUCUCUUUUUGGAUCUCAAUACAAAGUUCUCCCCCUCUCUUAUGGAGAUCUAUUCGAUGUAAUCUUCUUUUGCGGUGUGUUUGUUGUGUUUGUUGAGACCGAUGAAUUGUGGGUUUAUGAUCAUGUUUAUCUAUGAACAAUAUUUGAAUCUUCUCUGAAUUCUUUUAUGUAUGAUUGAUUAUCUUUGCAAGUCUCUCGAAUUAUCGGUUUGGUUUGGCCUACUUGAUUGAUCUUUCUUGCAAUGGGAGAAGUUCUUAGCUUUGGGUUCAAUAUUGCGGUGUCCUUUCCCAGUGACAGUAGGGGCAGCAAGGCACGUAUUGUAUUGUUGCCAUCGAGGAUAACAAGAUGGGGUUUAUUUCAUAUUGCAUGAGUUUAUCCCUCUACAUCAUGUCAUCUUGCUUAAAGCGUUACUCUGUUCUCUUGAACUUAAUACUCUAAAUGCAUGCUGGAUAGCGGUCGAUGUGUGGAGUAAUAGUACUAGAUGCAGGCAUGAGUCGGUCUACUUGUCUCGGACGUGAUGCCUAUAUACAUGAUCAUACCUAGAUAUUCUCAUAAUUAUGCUUAAUUCUGUCAAUUGGUCAACAGUAAUUUGUUUACCCGCCGUGAGUACUUAUGCUCUCGAGAGAAGCCACUAGUGAAACCUAUGGCCCCCGGGUCUAUCUUCCAUUAUAUUAAUCUUCCAAUACUUAGUUAUUUUUAUUGCCUUUUAUUUUACUUUGCAUCUUUAUCAUAAAAAUACCAAAAAUAUUAUCUUAUCAUAUCUAUCAGAUCUCACUCCCGUAAGUGACCGUGUAGGGAUUGACAACCCCUUAUCGCGUUGGUUGUGAGGAUUUAAUUGUUUGUGUAGGUACGAGGGACUCGUGUGUGGCCUCCUACUAGAUUGAUACCUUGGUUCUCAAAAACUAAGGGAAAUACUUACGCUACUUUACUGCACCACCCUGUCCUCAACGCAAGUGCUCAAGAGGUAGCAGCCGACCGCCAUGCCACCGAAGAAGUACGUCGCCUCCCGCGCCACGGCAACCGUGACCGCCUCCGUCGCCCAACCGAAGCAGAGGAAGCCGACGGCGCCGCCGUCCAAGCCACCGUGCAUGACAAACGCCGAGUGGAGGGCAGAAGUUCAGUGACGGGAGGCUGUCACCGCCGACCGACGGAAAAGGGCAAUCGCCAAGAAGGCCCACGACAACGCGGCACGUGCGGCUGCGGUUUCGGCGGACCAAGCCGAGACCGAGGCGACUCACGCGGGGAUGAUGAAUCCACCCGGCAGCCACGCCCAGUACGCGCCCUGGGGCCAGCAAGGCGUCGGCUCUCCGUCGCCACAGCCAUGGGGAUGCGCGCCCUCGCCGGGCUGCGCCGACGGGGACGCGUACAGUGGGUUCAACCCCAACGUCACCUUCCCCCAUGGUCACCCGGCCCAGCGCACUCCCUCGCCCGCCUUCGGCGGCGUGCAGUACCCUCCAACAACUACUCGUCGUCCGCCUACGCAUCCUCCCCGACGCCCCUCUCCGCCAUGGCGCGCUGCCCUUCUCGCACCUCGGCGACACCGACGAGACCGAGGCCGACAUGGAUGACAUCAUCGCGACAGGCUCGGCCGCGGCCGCCGCGUCUCCCGAGUUCAUUACCCCGGAUGACACGGUGGAUCUCAGCGGCGGCAUGGACGGCGAGCUCGGCUACGUCUAUGACGAGGAGGAGCAGGAGGAGGAGGAGCCGGCGACUGUUCCGGCGAGGAGGCGCAAGAAGAAGAAGCAGACGGUAAGGUCCGGCGAGUCGCGCAUCAAGUGGGCGUCCAAAAAGGAGGAAUGCCUCGCCGAAGCAUGAAAAGUCGUCUGCCUCGACCCGACCACCGGCACGAACCAGAGCAUCGAGACGUACUGGGAGAGCAUCAAGGCCGAGUUCGACGAGCGCAAGCUCGUCAACCCAUACUUUAAAGGCGUCUACAUGCAGCGCGGGUCGAAGGCGAUGGCGAACCAUUGGGGGUGUAUCCAGGGGGCGUGCGAAAAAUGGCAUGGGAUCGUCGAGGAGGUCGCGGCUCGCCCGAAGAGCGGCGCCAGCGUUGAGGAUCAGGUAUGGCACGCCGGUCUCCCGCCUCUCUUCGCCGUGUGCGCCCCCCAACUAGUUGUUCCUCCGCGCAGCUGCUGCGCAUGUUCGCCAUGUAUCGGCAGGGCAACAACGACGCCGAAUUCAAGUACCUCCACGUUUACAAGCGCAUUGACAAGUGCGAGAAGUGGGCGAAAGUCCGGCGCACCCUCGACAAGGCCAAGGAGACCUACAAGCCGGACGCGCCGACUCCGGGCGCGUCAGAAGGGCGGCCGGACGGCAACAAAUGUGCCAAGAAGGGGAAACACGCCGACGCGGCCACCACUCGUGUGCAGGAGUCCAUCGAGCACUGCCUCGCUGACGCACAGGCCCAGGCCGCCCUUCGUGAAGAGAAGACCGAGGCGCGGUGGUCGGCGUUGAUGUCGAGCAGCACCGUCAAGCUCGACCUACUCCGGACCAAUGUCGCCGCGAAGAAGAGAAACACUGACCUGCCUUUCCUGCUGGGCGGGGCGGACAUGCUCCAGAGCAACAACAAGGCGGUCAAGGCGUGGUACUUGGCGCAGCGUGGCCACAUCCUGAACCAGCUUCCCUCGACGACGACGCCCACGCCGACGCCCACGCCGAAGACGCCGCCAAGCCCGAGCGAUGAUGCCGCCGAGACUCCCCGCAGCACAGAAGCCACGCCGACACCGCCCAGCACGGAGACCCCGCCAAGCCCGCACACGCCGACGCCGGAGGCCGACCUUGCCGUCUGAUGCGCACGCGCGUCCUUUCUGCUUUUUGUACGCCGAACUUGUGGCCGUUUGAUCGCCGGAUUUGUGGCGUCUAUUUUGUGAGCGAGAAUGAGACACCGUUUGAAUUUGCCGCGGCCGGGGGCAACGCCUGGGGGCGUGGCUGGAAGCUAGGUCGCCCCCAGGGGCCAAUCUAGCGCCGGUUCGCCCCCAAACCGUUUUUUUUUCGACGCCCUGAGGGGCUGAACGGCUGGAGAUGCUCUGAGUCCCAAGGCGUAGGGCGUGCCGGACAAAAUAAUGGCCUUUUUUUUUGAAUUGUUUGGAUUGUUUUCCACAUGUUUCAUGUGGUGACGAAAUAAUGGCCUUGACCCGAUGAAACUGGGAUAUUGGGGGUCCGACUCGGCGCCUAGAGUACAAGGCACUCUCCUGGUAGAAUCUGUUAUAGAAUCAAUCAAAUCAAACACUACCAUUAGGAAAUUAGUAAAGCGACACGAUCUCUUGUUAAACAAGGAAAAGAUCAUGCCGGAAAUCAAUGGGGCGGAUAUAAACCGAUCCGCCUCAAUAAUUGUUCAUACUAUUUUCCUUCGUUUCUACUCGUAGCAAUUAUUACCUUCCACGGUUAUAUAAAUAAAAGGGUAGCCAUAUUAUUGUUUCUGCUAUUACAAGUCAAACAGAACAUCCUCUUUCCCAUCAUCAACUCAAUGCCACCGUUAGCCAAGAUGAGGACCGCCCUGCUGUGCGUGACUCUAAUCUUGCUCAUGCUAUCAUCAUCAUCAGGUACGGACUCGUUUGUUCUUACGCCUAUAGUACCACAUGCUUGGACAACCGAUCCGACCACAAAUUAGACGUGCGAUUCUCUAUUAAUUAAUACUCGUAUAUAAUGAUGUUUUUGCAGAUGCUAGACCCGGAGAAUCUUGCUUUGGAAGAUAUGUUGGGACGCGUGAUCCAUGCAAUUCCACCAACUGUGACGAUUCAUGCCACGUUGAGAACAAGGAUGAACCUCUUUGUCAGGGGAGGUGCUCCCAGGUGGCCAAAUGCCGUCCAAUCGGGUGCCACUGCGACUUCUGCAGGUUCCCUUGAUGCACGUAGAUUUAAGAUAGAUAGAAGGGCACGUUUACAAUGAAUAACGACGCAUCAAACUCUACCAGCUCGAAGGUUGUUAAGAACUUGAAUUUUGUAUUCUAGCAAAAGUUGUGUGAAAUUACGAAGUGAGAUUUCCUUUUUCUUUUUUGUGAUGUUGCAUUGCGCAUGUGCACGUAUGUUUACAUGUAAUCGUACCAAAACAAAUACGUGGUGUUUGGUUCACCGAGUGAUAGAUGCUAAGCGAAUGCGAUGAGGCCUUGCUGAAGGGUGGAGGAUGAGUCGCGAGAAGAAGGUGGCGGAGCCGACGACCGGGGGGAGGAGGCUGGACAGCUUUUUUUUUUUUGAGCAUCGGUACAGACACAAGCGCUCAUAUACACGCGCAUACACUCACCCCUAUAAACGCACACACGCACACCCUACCCCUAUGAGCAUCUUCGAAAAACUGAGCCGGCACAUCAUCUUGAGAUUUACGAAGUCACGGUAGGCGCCUCGUCGUCGACGGGAACGUCUUCUCCCAUUGAAAACGCAUCGCCGGAAAUUCUGAAAUAAAUCCAGGAAUAAUGCAAGCACCAGGAUUUGAAUCCUGGUGGGUUGGGGUACCACUGUUCACCUAACCAUCUCAACCACAGGUUGAUUCGCAGGCUGGACAGCUUUCGUGGCAGAUGAAUUGGGGUGUAGGGUUUAGGUCAAAUCAACGGGAUUAAUUAAGGAGAUCGCUUAAUUGGCCGCCCAUUACGUAUGUGUCUGAUUCCAAAACCGAAUCUCUGCCCUGUUUCUGUCUCCCUCUCCCUCCUCUCCGCGCACUUCAUGGCAUGUUUUUCUCCUCGUCGAGGGUGCUAAAAUUGCGCUUAGAUUUGUUUUCCUUGUCAAUCCGGUACCAUCACAAGUGUUAGCUGAGCCAAAUUCAGCUUUGGCAAAGACAUUAUGGAAGGGGCGACCUCUUAUCAAUCCCGAGAGUACCAUUUUUCUCUUAAAUAAAUAUAUGACGAGUUCUUGUUAUAGCCCAUAAUCUAACAAUUUUGCUCCAAAAAGGUAAUCUAACAAUCAGAGAAAAAAAUGUUGGACAAACUAUACAUACUAUUUGAACAAACUAGUAAAUGUGUACGUGCAAUGCACGUUGAUACCAGAUAGGCCAAUAAUUAAGAGUUAAAAUAUAUAUUAAUGACAUGUUGAUAUUAGGUAGGAUUUUUUUUUAGAAAAUGUAUGAUAUUAAUUGCAUGUUAAUUACGUGGAUAGUGCUAUCGUUAAUAUUUGGUAUGCUAUUGAUUUCACACUAAACAUGUUGAGCGCUCGAUAUAGAAGCAAUAUAGGUUGUUGGGUGCACAUGAUAUGAUGGCUGAGAUUAGUUGGAUCUGUCUCUUUGGGUCUUUUUAUAUUGGUAUAGAUACGGUGCAAUCUUCCAAACGCCUCAUAUGUUUCUAUCAGAACUCUGAACCUUCUGAGCUGACUUGUAAAGUUACCCGUCAUGUCUCGCAAAUUUUCAGUAGUAAUCACUGAACUCUGAUAUGUCGCUUCCCGGAUUUGAAGUAACUUUAGGAACUACUAUUGCAAUUACACACAUAGUUCCUGAAAUCUUCGCCUCCUGUAUUUGCAGUUUAGGGUAGUCACGCUACAUUCGUAUUUUUUUUAUAGAUACCUCAGCAAAUGCAUGUGAGCAUGUUGUGGUAGGUUGUAUCUUCUCUUCAACAUAGUUUCCAAAAUAUGCAGCUGUAGCUGACAAAAGUAAACCAUUCUGUGUUAAUGAUUUGUUGUGAAACAAUCGCUCAUCUCUGUAAUAUUUACCAGAACUGCAUUCGCUUUGUUGGGAAUAUUACUUGAAAUUGCAUGCAUCUGUCCUGUUAAUCACAGGAGUUGGCCAAUUUGGAUAAUGUCGAGCUGAUCAAGAAUGAUGGAAAUCCUUUUGGUUCUAAACACUUUCUAUCGAAAUCCCCCACUACAUAUGACAAAGGAGGGAUGUUCAAAUAGUAGAUCAGUAACCAAACACUCACGUUAUUCACACUUUUUUUCUUUCUAUUUAGUGUUACUCUUACUUUCUAUUCAUGAUACUGUGUGGUUGUUAAUUCUUAAUUAGCUAUAUAUGCCCGUUGUUUGGUGGUUGGUAUGAAACUACAAUUUUCCCUUAAAAAAUUCACCUCGUUCGAAUUUUGCUAUCUAGUAUUUUCACAGGAUGACUCAAAAAUUAAAAUAACAUUUUAUUCUGACACAUCAUGUUACUGGAAAUUUUGACCUUCUAGUUGAACACUAUAUUACCUAAGUGCGAUAUUAUCACUCACAACUUAAGUACCGUGCUAAGAUGCUAUGAUGUAAGGCAUUUUUUCCUUAGUAAGAUGUUGCAAUUCUCUACAUUAAUAAACGCAACAUAUGAGGCCCUAAUUUUCCUUAAUUUUCUUUUAAUACAAAAUGACACGAAUUUAGGUGUGCAUUAACAAAAAAAUACGAGGCCCACCAAUUAUUAAUAAAAAAUUAUAUUAUUUAAAUUUUCUCCACCAAGAGAUGAACAAGUCUCGUCAGCUCCUAAUUAUCAGUACAAAAUGACAUCUGCCGAAUUUGCUCCACCAAAAAGAACAUGUCGGAUCACUUAUGAUGCGGUUGGUAAUUAAGCUUGGAUAUGUGUCCUUAAUUGAUGUUGGUUUCUAUAUUUUGAAGUACCUUUUCUUGACAACUUUUAGUUUUAAAGAAAUAACUAAAGCAUCCUAUUUUCUUUACUAACCCAAUGGUUGAGGUUUAGCAUUUGUUCUCUGCGGUGGUUCAACAUGGGCUUCACUGUACAUUGCAUUCUGUAAAACAAGAAAGCUCUGUGAGUUUGUUCUCUAUUACAUGUAAGAGCACAUUCUCUUCUCUUCUUAUUUUUUUCCUGUUUUCUGUGUUUCUUUGUAUUUUCUCUACGUUUAUUAUUUUAACCCUUUAGAUUAGAUGACUUUGUUAUUGUAAAUGUGAAAAUUAGUAGGAGACUGCAAAAGAAUUGGUAGAUUCUGUAUAUAUCUGUUGGGUAUGCUGCAGCGGUUUGUUUUCCUCGCAUUUCCUUGAUGUCUUUACUAUGCUAUUUUGCUUUUGAGUGUUGAUGCUGUUUGGCGAUUUAGCAUGUUUUCUUGGGUCCAUGGCAUAUGAUCUUUGUUUAUAAUGACAUGAGUGAUUUGCAAAUAUAUCGAUCUCUAAUGCAUACAUGAAAACGUUCUUGCGAUAAGUUAUAAGUGUUACCAGUUGUGUCAUGACCUUUGCAAACAGUAAGCACAAGAGCAAUUGAACAUGACAAUUACAGAGUGAUAGACCAGCAAAUGAUUGAUUAGUUGAGAAAAUUGAGGAAGGUAAUCCUUCUACUUUUUUUCCGACUCAAGGGGCAACGUCCCCAGCUUCAAUUAAGAAGCUGAUAACACAGCAAAAGUAACAGAGGUCUUUUUUCUACCAAGCGCCUACUUUCAAGUCCUAUACUCUGGGAACUUGGGAAGUACACAAAACUACAGUCAAAGAAACUGAAACAGCGUACAUCUCUAGCAAAGCAUACCAGGAACAAGGAUAGCACCUAAGAAAGCAAAACCAGAGCACGCAACAACAUCCUGAUAGUUCACAGCACCUUCUUUUUUUCACCACUUCCAACGCAUUGCUUCUUUUUUUCAUUCCAGUCUUUGUCAACGAUGCCCAGCCUCUAUUCCUGUUGAAUCAGACGCCAAUACCAGCAGCAACUUUGCUCCGUAGCAAAGGAUUUUUCCGAGCCUUUUCCCUGUUCAGAAUAGACCAAGAAAAUAACAGCUGAGAUAUGACUAUUGCCAA
rnacentral:lncRNA from 1 species